UACGUAGGGGGCAAGCGUUGUCCGGAAUCAUUGGGCGUAAAGCGCGUGUAGGCGGCCCGGUAAGUCCGCUGUGAAAGUCCAGGGCUCAACCCUGGAAUGCCGGUGGAUACUGUCGGGCUCGAGUCCGGAAGAGGCGAGUGGAAUUCCUGGUGUAGCGGUGAAAUGCGCAGAGUAUCAGGAGGAACACCGAUGGCGAAGGCAGCUCGCUGGGACGGUACUGACGCUGAGACGCGAAAGCGUGGGGAGCAAAC
rnacentral:rRNA from 1 species